GACGAACGCUGGCGGCGUGCCUAAUACAUGCAAGUCGAACGCACUCUCGUUUAGAUUGAUGGAGUUUGCUCCUGAUUGAUAAACAUUUGAGUGAGUGGCGGACGGGUGAGUAACACGUGGGUAACCUGCCCUAAAGUGGGGGAUAACAUUUGGAAACAGAUGCUAAUACCGCAUAAAACCUAACACCGCAUGGUGUAGGGUUGAAAGAUGGUUUCGGCUAUCACUUUAGGAUGGACCCGCGGUGCAUUAGUUAGUUGGUGAGGUAAAGGCUCACCAAGACCGUGAUGCAUAGCCGACCUGAGAGGGUAAUCGGCCACACUGGGACUGAGACACGGCCCAGACUCCUACGGGAGGCAGCAGUAGGGAAUCUUCCACAAUGGACGAAAGUCUGAUGGAGCAACGCCGCGUGAGUGAAGAAGGUUUUCGGAUCGUAAAACUCUGUUGUUGGAGAAGAAUGUAUCUGAUAGUAACUGAUCAGGUAGUGACGGUAUCCAACCAGAAAGCCACGGCUAACUACGUG
rnacentral:rRNA from 1 species